GCAGGGCUGCCGUGAACAUCUAAAGAGUGGCCAGAUGAAAUAUUCCAACUGAGCUCCACUUCACAGGUUCUUGAGAUAUUUUGCAGACUCUGCACUCCAUGGAUCAGCUGACACCACCCAGACCAGUAAUGUGGCUCAACCAAUUCUGCCAUUCCACCCAGGAACAUAGACAGCAAGAAAAACUCACUUCGACCCCUCUAUGAUUCCAUCUCCAACCUGACCAAUCAUCACUCCUCGCUUCCUGAGCCCCUACCUGCCAAAUUAUCUUUAAAAACUCUGAUCCCUGAAUGCUUCAGGAGACUGAUUUCAGUAAUAAUAAAACUCUCAUUCCUGCA